CAGCCGCCGCGGUAAUACGUAGGGGGCGAGCGUUGUCCGGAAUUAUUGGGCGUAAAGCGCGCGCAGGCGGUCCUUUAAGUCUGAUGUGAAAGCCCACGGCUCAACCGUGGAGGGUCAUUGGAAACUGGGGGACUUGAGUGCAGGAGAGGAGAGCGGAAUUCCACGUGUAGCGGUGAAAUGCGUAGAGAUGUGGAGGAACACCAGUGGCGAAGGCGGCUCUCUGGCCUGUAACUGACGCUGAGGCGCGAAAGCGUGGGAAGCAAACAGGAUUAGAUACCCUGGUAGUCCACGCCGUAAACGAUGAGUGCUAAGUGUUAGAGGGGUCACACCCUUUAGUGCUGCAGCUAACGCGAUAAGCACUCCGCCUGGGGAGUACGGCCGCAAGGCUGCAACUUAAAGGAAUUGGCGGG
rnacentral:rRNA from 1 species